AUUGAACGCUGGCGGCAGGCCUAACACAUGCAAGUCGAGCGGAGGAAGGGAGCUUGCUCCUGGAUUCAGCGGCGGACGGGUGAGUAAUGCCUAAGAAUCUGCCUGGCAGUGGGGGAUAACGUCCGGAAACGGGCGCUAAUACCGCAUACGUCCUGAUGGUGAAAGUGGGGGAUCUUCGGACCUCACGCUAUCAGAUGUGCCUAGGUCGGAUUAGCUAGUUGGUGGGGUAAAGGCGUACCAAGGCGACGAUCCGUAACUGGUCUGAGAGGAUGAUCAGUCACACUGGAACUGAGACACGGUCCAGACUCCUACGAGAGGCAGCAGUGGGGAAUAUUGGACAAUGGGCGAAAGCCUGAUCCAGCAAUGCCGCGGGUGUGAAGAAGGUCUUCGGAUUGUAAAGCACUUUAAGUGGGGAGGAAGGGCAGUAAGUUAAUACCUUGCUGUGUUGACGGUACCAACAGAAUAAGCACCGGCUAACUUCGUG
rnacentral:rRNA from 1 species